rnacentral:tRNA from 1 species
GGGGCUGUGGCUCAGUGGUACAGCACUUGCCUUGAACGUAUGAGGCACUGGGUUGGAGUCUCAGCACCG